CAUAAUGUCUCCCAAUGUCCCUUAGUGUCUCAGUGUCUGCCAUAAUGUCUCCCAGUGUCCCUUAGUGUCUCAGUGUAUGUCUCCUCGCAGCCUUUCCCCCAUCCCUUACAUCCCUGAGCUGUAGGCUGUCUCUGCAGGGUGGAAGUUGCUGUCUGGACUCUCUGUAGCUGCACCCCUGCAGAUCAGUGAGUAUAGAUAGGCAGGGAGGGAUAUGCUGGAACGUCCUAUCCCUGCCUGUCUCCACACACAGCGACCCCUA
rnacentral:lncRNA from 1 species